GUGGCAGACGGGUGAGUAACGCGUGGGAAUCUACCCAUCUCUACGGAAUAACUCAGGGAAACUUGUGCUAAUACCGUAUACGCCCUUUGGGGGAAAGAUUUAUCGGAGAUGGAUGAGCCCGCGUUGGAUUAGCUAGUUGGUGGGGUAAAGGCCUACCAAGGCGACGAUCCAUAGCUGGUCUGAGAGGAUGAUCAGCCACAUUGGGACUGAGACACGGCCCAAACUCCUACGGGAGGCAGCAGUGGGGAAUAUUGGACAAUGGGCGCAAGCCUGAUCCAGCCAUGCCGCGUGAGUGAUGAAGGCCCUAGGGUUGUAAAGCUCUUUCACCGGUGAAGAUAAUGACGGUAACCGGAGAAGAAGCCCCGGCUAACUUCGUGCCAGCAGCCGCGGUAAUACGAAGGGGGCUAGCGUUGUUCGGAAUUACUGGGCGUAAAGCGCACGUAGGCGGGUAUUUAAGUCAGGGGUGAAAUCCCGGAGCUCAACUCCGGAACUGCCUUUGAUACUGGGUACCUAGAGUAUGGAAGAGGUAAGUGGAAUUCCGAGUGUAGAG
rnacentral:rRNA from 1 species